rnacentral:rRNA from 1 species
AGGCUUAUCUCCCCCAAGAGUCCACAUCGACGGGGAGGUAUGCCACCCCCAUGUCCGCCCAUCACAUCCGGAGGCUCCAGAAUAUCCCAAGGGGAGGGCUGUUCGCCCAUUAAAGUGGUACGCGAGCUGGGUUCAGAACGUCGUGAGACAGUUCGGUCCCUAUCCGUCGCAGGCGUAGGAAAUUUGAGAAGACCUGUCCUUAGUACGAGAGGACCGGGAUGGACGUACCUCUGGUGUACCAGUUGUCCUGCCAAGGGCAUGGCUGGGUAGCUAUGUACGGAAUGGAUAAGCGCUGAAAGCAUCUAAGCGCGAAGCCAACUUCAAGAUAAGAUUUCCCACCGCAAGGGUAAGACCCCAGAAAGACUAUCUGGUUGAUAGGUCGAAGGUGUAAGUGCAGCAAUGUAUUUAGCUUAUCGAUACUAAUAGGUCGAGGACUUGACCAAU